CAGUCGAGAAUCUUCGGCAAUGGGCGCAAGCCUGACCGAGCGACGCCGCGUGGAGGAUGAAGGCCUUCGGGUUGUGAACUCCUGUCGAGGGGGAGGAAGGGGCGACCUUGACCGAUCCCUGGAGGAAGUACGGGCUAAGUUCGUGCCAGCAGCCGCGGUAAGACGAACCGUGCGAACGUUAUUCGGAAUCACUGGGCUUAAAGCGCGUGUAGGCGGAUGGGUGCGUCGGACCUUGAAAGCCCCCGGCUCAACCGGGGAAGUGGGGCCGAAACGACCCGUCUGGAGGGACGUAGGGGGAUCUGGAACUUCCGGUGGAGCGGUGAAAUGCGUUGAGAUCGGAAGGAACGCCCGUGGCGAAAGCGAGAUCCUGGACGUUUACUGUCGCUGAGACGCGAAAGCUAGGGGAGCGAACGGAUUAGA
rnacentral:rRNA from 1 species